GGAUAAUGUCUGAGUUGGCUACAUACUUGAAUCUUGAAAUAUUCCUAUUCUAUUUCUAUUCUAUUAGGAAUUUAAAUGAUAAAAAGCAAUUAUGGAUAAAAGAUGAAUGAGAUAAAUGGGCUACUGACGACUAUAGACACGUAAAAUAUCCUCGAAAUUUUCUAUUAAUCUUUUUGUAUCAAUCAUUUGGAUAGUGCCCUUUAUCAUUAUCAUAAAUUCUAUAAUUUUGUGGUUGGUCUUCGUCUUUAGUAUCUGGGUAUCGUAAACAUAGUUCUCCGGCGAUUAAUUGAUCGCGAAUUCAAAUUCUUUAUUAUGGAUUCAGUAGGGCCUCGACUUAAUCUAAUGAAAUCGACGACUAUAGACAAAAUAUCCUCAAAAUUUUCUAUUGAUAGAGAAGAAAUUGAUUUCAUUAGAUUAAGUCGCGGCCCUACUGAAUCCAUAAUAAAGAAUUAAAUUAAUCGCCGGAGAACUAUGUUUACGAUACCCAGAUACUAAAGACGAAGACCAACCGUGAAACUUAAACAAAAUUAUAGAAUUUAUGAUAAUGAUAAAGGGCACUAUCAAAAUGAUUGAUGCAGCCUAUUUAGAUUUCCAUGGAUUAUAGAAUUUAUUAUAAAGGCACGAUGCAGCCUAUUUAGAUUUCAAUAGAUUAUAGAAUUAAUGAUAUGAUAAAGGGCACAUCAAAAUGAUUAAUACAGCCUAUUGGGAUUUCCAGGGAUUAUAGAAUUUGACUUAUCGUUACCAACAUAUGUAGAAAUUAACAUGAUCAACAAUAUAAUGAUAAUGGUAACGUGAAUUAGAGUAACCUGGAGUACUCCAAUGGUAGUGGUACGUAAAACUUCAGGGGAACUACGAUUGAAAAUAAUUCUACCAACGAAUCGCAAAAAUCGCUAUAGAUCUACAGAUAAAUGAUGAUAAAAUAACAAGCGAAAAUAAAACAGUGAUGGUGGGAACAAUUGGUCGAAAAACUCGAAUCGCCAUCACAAUCCUGGAAAAGGGAAGAAGAAAAAGAAGAAAAAAAUAAACGUACAAAACCGUAUUAAAACAUCCCGACCAACUACGCGAAAUCAAAUCAAUAAUAACAAUUGAACCAAGUCAAAGGAAGGCAAACGGGUUAUCCAACAAGGGAAGUAAAGCCAACAAAAAAAUAUAGAUGAACUUGAACUUGGUAAAUAAAAAGAUUGGUAGACAAUCUUAUCUUGGUGGGAAAGAAGAUAUGUUACAUUUGAAUAUUUAUUAUUGUAAGAUAUAUUUAAAGGUCACCUUAUAUUUGUAUAUUAUAUUAUUCCGACAUGUAAUAUUAUAUUAUCGAGGUUAAUCAAAUUGCAUAUUAUUAGAAGUUAAAUUGGAUAAUUAUAUAAAUGUAUAUAUACCAAAAGAAUUACAAAUAAAAUUAUUAUCGUUUUUUUAAAAAACUUUAAUCGAUAUU